UACGGGGGGGGCAAGCGUUGUUCGGAAUUACUGGGCGUAAAGGGCUCGUAGGCGGCCAACUAAGUCAUACGUGAAAUCCCUCGGCUUAACCGGGGAACUGCGUCUGAUACUGGAUGGCUUGAGUUCGGGAGAGGGAUGCGGAAUUCCAGGUGUAGCGGUGAAAUGCGUAGAUAUCUGGAGGAACACCGGUGGCGAAGGCGGCAUCCUGGACCGAUACUGACGCUGAGGAGCGAAAGCCAGGGGAGCAAGCGGG
rnacentral:rRNA from 1 species